rnacentral:lncRNA from 1 species
CUGGAAUGUGCUGAGAGAGGCCAAAAUAGAUCCUCCAAUCCAAACACUGUACUUCCUCUCAGGUGGGGCGACAACCUUGAUCUUCAUGCUACUUGGAGCUAAUGCUGUAAUUUCCUUGCUCAUCCUAUCAGCAAUGCCCGGGAACAUUGUGGUACCACCGCUAAGGACAAUAUUUCCAUACAGAUCCUUCCUGAUAUCAACGUCACACUUCAUAAUGGAAUUGUAUGUGGUUUCGUGAAUUCCAGCAGCUUCCAUUCCGAUCAUUGAUGGUUGGAACAGAACUUCUGGGCAGCGGAAUCUCUCAGCGCCAAUGGUGAUAACUUGUCCAUCAGGCAGCUCGUAGCUCUUCUCCACGGAUGAGCUGGUCUUUGCUGUUUCAAGUUCUUGUUCAUAGUCAAGAGCAAUGUAAGCCAACUUCUCCUUCACAUCCCUAACAAUUUCCCGCUCGGCCGUGGUGGUGAAUGAGUAGCCUCGUUCUGUGAGAAUCUUCAUGAGGUGAUCUGUGAGAUCACGCCCUGCCAGAUCAAGACGCAGGAUUGCGUGUGGGAGGGCAUAACCUUCGUAGAUGGGAACUGUGUGGCUGACACCAUCACCAG